rnacentral:tRNA from 1 species
GGGAAUGUGGCUCAGUUAGUAUAGUGCUUGUCGCCAUCCGAGGAGCCUGGGUUCAAAUCCCAGCACUCUUU